rnacentral:misc_RNA from 1 species
GAACUCGCCUGGAUUGGUUGCUGCGUGACUCCUCUUGUCAUUUCUUGGGUGUAGUUUGAAGGGAUUUGAUGGUUGUUUACCUAUCUCUCUUGCUGAAGCUGUUUGUGCAAAAGAGGCGUUAAGUUGGCUCAAGAGACUCGGACAACAGAGGAUUAUUACUGAAACUGACUCUAUGACUCUCCACAAGGCUAUCACUUCUGACACUUUCAAUAUUUCUUAUUUUGGUCCUGUUGUGAAUGAUAUAAAGGCUCUAAUUCAUAAGCUUGAAGCGGUAUCCUUGCAUUUUGUGUGUAAAUCAGCGAAUCAGUCCACUCAUUCUAUUACAACGGC